AUUGAACACUCAUACAGCGGCCUCUGUGCUAAGCCUCCAGUAUUCCUCCCAGCAGCUCAUAACACGGCCCUACUUUAUGUCAAAAUGAUGUCGACUUUUAUUAGAAAUCGCUCAGUGUAAACUCGGUUUUUAAUUUCGUCUUCAGGAUUUUAAAAUUUGGAUUUGCGUGUUCUUUGAAGUUUAAAGGAUUUUUAACUGUAUCUGAAGGAAAGCAACAAUCCGCAUUUAUAUAUUCGCCUUGGACGUCAAAUUUUCAGCAAUGUCUGAAUACCUCUCAGAGACCACCGUUAGCAAUAGCAGUGGGGACCAGCGCGCCAUGGACAAUCGGACGAUUCUACAGUCCAUGACGCUGGAAUUUCCUGAGGACUACCUCUCAAACGGAACCUUUGUGCCCUAUUUAAUCAUCCCCUUCCCAAAGAAUCUAGCCUUCCCCGUGUAUGGUGUUUUGGUCCCCAUUAUCACUGUACUGACGCUGGUGUCCAACGUCCUCGUCAUCUGUGUUUUCUUGAAGAAGAAGAUGCGUUCAGUGACAACGCUUUUUCUCGCGGGAUUGGCAUGUUCGGAUACACUCUCCGCUAUUUUGUGGUGUGUGGUACACCUCUAUUUUUAUGGAUUCAAAAGCGACUACACAGUCCCGGUCCAGCAUCCGCUGUGUGUUUUUCAUGACUACGCUUUAUAUUUAGCGGUGAUGUUUCAUGCGACGUCAGUCUGGCUCACUACAACGCUUGGCGUACAGCGAUGCAUCAUUGUCGUCAAACCGUUCUGGGGACCACGAUUGUGGACAAUGAAGAAGUCGGCCUUCAUGACCCUUUUGGCUUAUCUAUUGUCUGUGAUGUUUUUUCUUCCGUUGUUUUUUAUGAACAAUUAUAAGAAAAUUGAAGUGACGGAGAACAAUAUAACGUCUGUCGUCUGCGGGGUAAGAGUGGACCCUUUCUUCGAAAAGAGACUGUAUGAGUACUCCAUUGUAAAUAAUCCUUUCCGUGGAAUAUUCGUACAGUUCCUGCCAUGCAUUUUGAUGCUGAUAACGACGUUCGUCCUGGCGUACAAAUUAAAACACGGCAAGAUUCUGCAGCGCUGCAUCUCCUCGGCGGCGGAGGGUCCAAAACGAGACUUCCAGCACCGACAGCGGACGACGUUAAUGGUGGUCAUCAUCAUGAUCAUCUUCCUCAUCGUGGAGAUUCCGAACGGCAUCGUCUUCGGAAUCAAAGUAUACGAAAACCUGUCCGACAAUUACAUCAUAGAAACUGAAACUGACUAUUCGAUAGCCAUUCUACAGAACUUUGUAUCUGUUGUUGAGCUAUCACUGUAACUUCUGGAUUUAUGUAGCGCUGAGCGCCAGGUUUAGAGAAACCUUAAAAGCGUUGAUUUGUGGCUUCAAAGUGAAGCAUACCUUUGAGCGAAUGAUGACGGUAAGUAGUUUUUCUCCCGCCAGCUCUUUGAAACGGAAGCGAGGGAUACGAUCCACCGGAAACGGAAGUGACAUUAAGUGCGACUUCGAGUCAAAAACUUAUUUCUCAAACCUGAAUGGAAAUAGCGAUUGAAAUAUAACAAUUGAUGGUUUUGUGUCCACUAUCAUCUUGAUAUGAAUAGGAUUUAUGAAAUACUGUUGGUAUCUGGUUGAUUGUUACCAAAGGUAAAUACGGCCGCAUUGUGAGAUACUGUAAAGGGUUUAAGAGGAAUCUAAGCGAAAUGCUUUUUAUAGAGAAGAAACAGAAUAUGCUUAUCGUACACUGUAACAUAGCAAUGCAAACAAAUACCACGAACACAUGCAUAUACAUUGCAUCUUGAUAUUGGUGUUAAAAUCAUGUGCAUCUAAUAUAUUAAUAAAGAAGUCUGCUUUUC
rnacentral:misc_RNA from 1 species